AAGGCUGAACAAUAUCCUGCCGGCGUGCUCGGCGCGGCCCCCACCCCGCCUCGUGGAACUGUGCGGUGGGCAGGUGCAUGGCGGCAGUGCGGGGCUGCGGGCGGGGGAGCGAGCGGGGCAGGAAGUUUGCUCUUUCCCCUCCUAGCUUUAUACCGACGGAGCUGAAGGAACAGCGGCGGGCGCGCUGCUAACGCACAGCGGAACCCCCAUCCCCCCGCCGCCCCCUUUCUCCUCCCCAGACGUCCGGAGGGGUCACCCCGCAGCGCCCCGCCGGGCCCCGAGGCUCCGCCGCCGCAGCGCGGACGGGAGGGGACGGGCACCGCCGAAACCACGGAGAGGGGCGAAGCGCGGAAGAUGGCUGUGUCUGGAAAGGAGAGUUGCAUCAUCAAGCAAAGAAGGGAUGAACUGUGCUACACAAGCAGACACACAGCCAGAAUAAUUAGAGUAUCAACUUAAGAGAAUUUGUGAACUGCACAUGCAAAAUUGAAGGAGCAAAGGUGGAGGGGAGUGGGGAGGGUGAUGAACAGAGCAUGGCCUCUGCACAAAGAACAGACAAAUCGAUACAUAUAGGAAGAGCUAAAUUAUCACUACGCACGUUACUAUAAAACAAGGGGAAUGUAUCAGGGCUAGGUAAAGAAAGAAACUGACGUUUACUGAAAUAAACACAGACAGCAUGGAGAGAAAAGGAAAUUGGUAAUAGGGUAAAAUACAUGAAAUAUUUAUCAUAUCUAGCAAGGCACAAAAUAGAUUAUAAUCUCAGAAGCAGAGAAAUGAAAUGCUCAAAAAUGAGUACAAUGUUACAUAACGCUGUUAGUCAAAGCAGAGAAGUAGAGGUGGAAUGCAUAGGAAACAUGAAAAGUUGUACAGAUGUUGCAUGUGCUGAAAAAGGUUACUAAGACUGCUACCGAGAGUGCUGAAAGGAAAAAAAAAAAAAAAAAAAAAAAACAAGAAACAGGUUUCACAAAGAAAAACAAGGGAAAAUGUCAAUGACACCUUCCAUAAUACGUGAUCAAGGGAUAAAUGCCUUGCGGCUGUUUAUUUAGAAACCUAUCUUUUUCCAAGACGGUAGAUCGAAUGUUAAAAAAAAUAAAUAAUAAUAAUAAUAAUAAUGAAAAAAGAAACAGAGAAUAAUUAUUUCCCAAGAUAUCUGAGCCUUUGGAGGAAAGAUAGUGUUAACUUGAAGAAUUAAAACUUCACAAGCACAAUGGAAAGUAUCAGCAUUGUAUCAGUUUUGAUCUGUUCCAGGAAAGCCUGGUACAGUCAUCUUCAGCAGCAGCAGCAGCACCAACCACGGAGGAAGAAAAACGUGAAAGCAGAGGGGGUUUGGGCUGGGCGACUGCUGCCUGCGGUGCGAUGGACAGAAGAGGCAGUGAGGGUAAUUGGAGUGAUGCAGAGCUGGUUAGAAUAGAGCAGAUAUUUAAAAAUAAUGAUUUGGAACAAGAUUAGGGACUCGAGCACCACCCUACAAAAGUGAUUACCGGAUGCGACAAUAACAACAACCAAGAAAACAAAAAGAUUAGAAUCUGCUCUAAAGUAACUUCUGCUUUGGUGUCAGAGACCAUUCCCUUCACGGUCAAAAAGCCCUUAAAAUGUUCAGAGUUUAGCAAAGUGAUUAAUCUAAAAAGCAGAGACAGUGAAUUAAAGGAGCAGGGAGAUAACAAUCUGAUAAUACAGGAGCACAGAAGGCCUAAUAAUGAUAUUAUUAUGCACACUAACCAAACACUGACAAACAAAUAUUCUGUUAAUUAUAUAAUCAUGCAUAUGCUUCCUAUGCUUGAGAUAAACGAUUACAGAAAAUCACUCUCUUCUUGAAACUGCAUAUAUGUGCUAAGCCCUGUAAACUCCCUGCAACAUGGAUUAAUUUAAUUUCUGCAUAUCACCUAUGUCUGGGAAAGUUAUUUGCCGCAGACUUGGCAGGCGGAGCGUGGAAUGCAGGCUUUGACCAGCAGGCAUGGGUAACUGCGGGCUGCUGCGUCCUGACGUACAGGCAGCAAUCAGAUCUCUCUUAUCAAUACCCAACUACUUGGAAUAAACUCAAGAUAAAGAUAUCUGAUUUUCAUUUGACCUACUCUAAUUUACACUUCACUGUGUCAACUUUGAUAUUAAAAUGUUCCAUUAGAACAAAGAUAUUUAUAAUAAAAACAUAUAUAAAGAAGAGAAGAUGAAUAGAUAUUGUCAUGGAUACGUAUGCAGGCAAUCAUUUAAACAUGCAGCAGGAGUAACAUCAUAUUUUUUCAUAGCUUCCAGUCAACAAACGGUGGACAAAUAUAUGCUUAAUAAAGCUUAUCAACCCUUA